rnacentral:rRNA from 1 species
AUUGAACGCUGGCGGCAGGCCUAACACAUGCAAGUCGAACGAGUGGCGGACGGGUGAGUAAUGUCUGGGAAACUGCCCGAUGGAGGGGGAUAACUACUGGAAACGGUAGCUAAUACCGCAUACCAUCGGAUGUGCCCAGAUGGGAUUAGCUUGUAGGUGAGGUAACGGCUCACCUAGGCGACGAUCCCUAGCUGGUCUGAGAGGAUGACCAGCCAAACUGGAAUUGUGACAGGGGCCAGACUCCGACGGGAGGCACAAGUGGGGAAUAUUGCACAAUGUGCGCAAGCCUGAUGCAGUCAGGCGGCGUGGAUGAAGAAGGCCUUCGGUUUGUAAAGUACUUUCAGCGGGGAGGCGUUACCCGCAGAAGAAGCACCGGCUAACUCCGUGCCAGCAGCCGCGGUAAUAC